UGGAGGGCAAGUCUGGUGCCAGCAGCCGCGGUAAUUCCAGCUCCAAUAGCGUAUAUUAAAGUUGUUGUGGUUAAAAAGCUCGUAGUUGAACCUUGGGCCUGGCUGGCCGGUCCGCCUCACCGCGUGCACUGGUUCGGCCGGGCCUUUCCCUCUGGGGAGCCUCAUGCCCUUCACUGGGUGUGUUGGGGAACCAGGACUUUUACUGUGAAAAAAUUAGAGUGUUCAAAGCAGGCCUAUGCUCGAAUACAUUAGCAUGGAAUAAUAGAAUAGGACGUGUGGUUCUAUUUUGUUGGUUUCUAGGACCGCCGUAAUGAUUAAUAGGGACAGUCGGGGGCAUUAGUAUUCAAUUGUCAGAGGUGAAAUUCUUGGAUUUAUUGAAGACUAACUACUGCGAAAGCAUUUGCCAAGGAUGUUUUCAUUAAUCAGGAACGAAAGUUAGGGGAUCGAAGACGAUCAGAUACCGUCGUAGUCUUAACCAUAAACUAUGCCGACUAGGGAUCGGACGGUGUUAUUUUUUGACCCGUUCGGCACCUUACGGGAAAC
rnacentral:rRNA from 1 species